rnacentral:rRNA from 1 species
GAUGAACGCUAGCGGCAGGCCUAACACAUGCAAGUCGAGGGGCAGCACAUAAAGUGGUUUACUACUUUUGGUGGCGACCGGCGGACGGGUGCGUAACGCGUAUGCAACCUGCCUCCAACAGGGGGAUAACGGAGAGAAAUUUCCACUAAUACCCCAUAAUAUCAGAAUCGGCAUCGGUUUUGGUUGAAAACUCCGGUGGUUGGAGAUGGGCAUGCGUUGUAUUAGAUAGUUGGUGAGGUAACGGCUCACCAAGUCAACGAUACAUAGGGGGACUGAGAGGUUAGCCCCCCACACUGGUACUGAGACACGGACCAGACUCCUACGGGAGGCAGCAGUGAGGAAUAUUGGUCAAUGGGGGCAACCCUGAACCAGCCAUGCCGCGUGCAGGAAGACGGCUCUAUGAGUUGUAAACUGCUUUUACAAGGGGAUAAAUCGGUGUACGUGUACCCGCUUGAAGGUACCUUGCGAAUAAGGAUCGGCUAACUCCGUGCCAGCCGCCGCGGUAA